CUCAGGAUCAGAUUUCCACCUGCCCCCCCUGCUUUAGGGAUGGUACAGGCAUUUUGGGUGGUGUUUGGAUCCCAGUGACUCUGGUAUCUCUGCUGGACCCUUUAACCAUCAGAGCCAAGCAUCCCUUGCAGCUGUGUCCAGUGCUCCCUGUGAGACAGCGUUUGGCCACAGCUGGGGACAAGCAAACAAGGAACCCAACUGACGUAUUUGGAUGUGUGAAAGAUCUCUGCCUGUGCUCUAGAAAUACUUAGACCCCAAUUCUUCUGAGACAUCUUGGAUCAAGAGGAUUCAACCCAAAAAGCAUCAGGCAUAUGAGUGAGGGCUGGAUAUUAGUGCGAAGUCACACUUCCAGGAAGCCUCCAAGUAAUCAGAGGUGCAGAGCUGAAAUGAGACAGUGAUUUUUUUGUGACUGCAAGACCUAAGAACUGAGAAGGGGGCGAGAUGGGCAGCCUGCGAUCUCGAAGCACCUCUUGAAGUGCUCGUCACAAUGGAGUUUAAAACGGCUUUUGGAGGUGAUGCAGGUGUCGGAGGGUUUGUCCGUGGUGAAUCCAUCUGUGUCAGCCUGGGGCUGAGGGAAGCCACGUGCAGGGCUGACAGGGAUGUUGAGGGAGCAUCGCAGGAACCGACAGAUGGGCUCCAAUCUACCCGGGAAGGAAUAUUGAACUGCAGUCCUCUAAGGACAGGGAGGAAGGAGAAGAAAUAUGGCCCCAAACUCAUGCAUGGCCAGGCUGGUUGAUGGAUCCUCAUGGUCCUCCUUGGAAUGUACCUUCUGCUCAAAUGAGGACUUUGGGAAUAAAGAAACCCCAGGUGAUAA